AACAGGAUUAGAUACCCUGGUAGUCCACGCCGUAAACGAUGUCGACUUGGAGGUUGUGCCCUUGAGGCGUGGCUUCCGGAGCUAACGCGUUAAGUCGACCGCCUGGGGAGUACGGCCGCAAGGUUAAAACUCAAAUGAAUUGACGGGGGCCCGCACAAGUGGUGGAGCAUGUGGUUUAAUUCGAUGCAACGCGAAGAACCUUACCUACUCUUGACAUCCAGAGAACUUAGCAGAGAUGCUUUGGUGCCUUCGGGAACUCUGAGACAGGUGCUGCAUGGCUGUCGUCAGCUCGUGUUGUGAAAUGUUGGGUUAAGUCCCGCAACGAGCGCAACCCUUAUCCUUUGUUGCCAGCGGUUCGGCCGGGAACUCAAAGGAGACUGCCAGUGAUAAACUGGAGGAAGGUGGGGAUGACGUCAAGUCAUCAUGGCCCUUACGAGUAGGGCUACACACGUGCUACAAUGGCAUAUACAAAGAGAAGCGACCUCGCGAGAGCAAGCGGACCUCAUAAAGUAUGUCGUAGUCCGGAUUGGAGUCUGCAACUCGACUCCAUGAAGUCGGAAUCGCUAGUAAUCGUGGAUCAGAAUGCCACGGUGAAUACGUUCCCGGGCCUUGUACACACCGCCCGUCACACCAUGGGAGUGGGUUGCAAAAGAAGUAGGUAGCUUAACCUUCGGGAGGGCGCUUACCACUUUGUGAUUCAUGACUAGGGUGAAGUCGUAACAAGGUAACC
rnacentral:rRNA from 1 species